rnacentral:tRNA from 1 species
AUGCGAAGCGUGCGCGCUACCACUGUGCCAAGUGCCC